rnacentral:rRNA from 1 species
GUUUGAUCCUGGCUCAGGAUGAACGCUAGCUACAGGCUUAACACAUGCAAGUCGAGGGGUAGCAGGAAAGAAGCUUGCUUCUUUUGCUGACGACCGGCGCACGGGUGAGUAACACGUAUCCGACCUACCGUUUACUCGGGGAUAGCCUUUCGAAAGAAAGAUUAAUACCCGAUAGCAUAAGAGGACCGCAUGGUUUUCUUAUUAAAGAAUUUCGGUAAUCGAUGGGGAUGCGUUCCAUUAGAUAGUAGGUGAGGUAACGGCUCACCUAGUCUGCGAUGGAUAGGGGUUCUGAGAGGAAGGUCCCCCACACUGGUACUGAGACACGGACCAGACUCCUACGGGAGGCAGCAGUGAGGAAUAUUGGUCAAUGGGCGAGAGCCUGAACCAGCCAAGUAGCGUGAAGGAUGACUGCCCUAUGGGUUGUAAACUUCUUUUGUAUGGGAAUAAAAUGCGGUACGUGUACCGUUUUGUAUGUACCAUUCGAAUAAGCAUCGGCUAACUCCGUGCCAGCAGCCGCGGUAAUACGGAGGAUGCGAGCGUUAUCCGGAUUUAUUGGGUUUAAAGGGAGCGUAGGUGGAUUGAUAAGUCAGUUGUGAAAGUUUGCGGCUCAACCGUAAAAUUGCAGUUGAUACUGUCAGUCUUGAGUACAGUAGAGGUGGGCGGAAUUCGUGGUGUAGCGGUGAAAUGCUUAGAUAUCACGAAGAACUCCGAUUGCGAAGGCAGCUCACUGGACUGCAACUGACACUGAGGCUCGAAGUGUGGGUAUCAAACAGGAUUAGAUACCCUGGUAGUCCACACAGUAAACGAUGAAUACUCGCUGUUUGCGAUAUACUGCAAGCGGCCUAGCGAAAGCAUUAAGUAUUCCACCUGGGAGUACGCCGGCACGGUGAAACUCAAAGGAAUUGACGGGG